rnacentral:rRNA from 1 species
AGCAACGCCGCGUGAGUGAUGAAGGCCUUCGGGUCGUAAAACUCUGUCCUCAAGGAAGAUAAUGACGGUACUUGAGGAGGAAGCCCCGGCUAACUACGUGCCAGCAGCCGCGGUAAUACGUAGGGGGCUAGCGUUAUCCGGAUUUACUGGGCGUAAAGGGUGCGUAGGCGGUCUUUCAAGUCAGGAGUGAAAGGCUACGGCUCAACCGUAGUAAGCUCUUGAAACUGGGAGACUUGAGUGCAGGAGAGGAGAGUGGAAUUCCUAGUGUAGCGGUGAAAUGCGUAGAUAUUAGGAGGAACACCAGUUGCGAAGGCGGCUCUCUGGACUGUAACUGACGCUGAGGCACGAAAGCGUGGGGAGCAAACAGGAUUAGAUACCCUGGUAGUCCACGCUGUAAACGAUGAGUACUAGGUGUCGGGGGUUACCC